AUCGGUGUAUAUGGCAGUGAGGUCACACCUGUUCCCAUUCCGAACACAGAAGUUAAGCUCAUUUGCGAUGAUAAUACUUGGUUGGCGACGACCUGGGAAUGUAGUUCUAUGCCGGUA
rnacentral:rRNA from 1 species